rnacentral:rRNA from 1 species
UACAGAGGUCUCAAGCGUUGUUCGGAAUUACUGGGCGUAAAGGGUGCGCAGGCCGCGCGGGCAGUCAAAUGUGAAAUUCCGGGGCUCAACCUCGGAAUUGCGCUUGAUACUUCCGCGCUAGAACUUUGGAGAGGAGUCUGGAAUUCUCGGUGUAGCAGUGAAAUGCGUGGAUAUCGAGAAGAACACUUAGGGCGUAGGCAAGACUCUGGACAAAUGUUGACGCUCAUGCACGAAGGCUAGGGUAGCGAACGGG